rnacentral:rRNA from 1 species
GACAGAGGGGGCAAGCGUUGCUCGGAAUUACUGGGCGUAAAGGGCGCGUAGGCGGGAUGGCAAGUCGGUCGUGAAAUCCCUCGGCUCAACUGAGGAUCGUCGAUCGAUACUGCCGUUCUUGAGGAUUGCAGAGGAGACUGGAAUUCCCGGUGUAGCGGUGAAAUGCGUAGAUAUCUGGAGGAACACCGGUGGCGAAGGCGGCAUCCUGGACCGACACUGACGCUGAGGAGCGAAAGCCAGGGGAGCAAACGGG